rnacentral:tRNA from 1 species
GCGGGUGUAGUUUAGUGGCAAAACAACAGCUUCCCAAGCUGUGGUUGUGAGUUCGAUUCUCAUCACCCGCUCCA